rnacentral:tRNA from 1 species
UAAAUGGCUGAGUGGUUUAAAGCUUUAGUUUUGAAAGCUAACGUGGUUUAAUCCACCGUGGGUUCGAAUCCCACUUUAUCUUCAA